rnacentral:rRNA from 1 species
UAAGGUGAANCCNCGAAUGGCUCAUUAAAUCAGUUAUGGUUCAUUAGAUUGUACCCACAUUUACUUGGAUAACUGUGGUAAUUCUAGAGCUAAUACAUGCAACACAGAGUCCCGACCAGUGAUGGGAGGGACGCUUUUAUUAGAUCAAAACCAAUCGGUGGCGGGUAGGCUCGCCCAUCCGUCCAUCGUUUAUUUUGGUGACUCUGAAUAACUUUGUGCUGAUCGCACGGUCCUAGCACCGGCGACGCAUCUUUCAAAUGUCUGCCUUAUCAACUGUCGAUGGUAGGUUCUGCGCCUACCAUGGUUGUAACGGGUAACGGGGAAUCAGGGUUCGAUUCCGGAGAGGGAGCCUGAGAA